rnacentral:lncRNA from 1 species
CAAAGAACAAAGCACUAGUAAGAGAAACACUUGGCGUGGAGAAAAAGAGGCUAGAGGAUUUUGUCAUACGAUUUCAGAAUCACUCGAAACGAUGAAGAAUCAAGUAAUCCCCAUAUUUGAUGGAGAGAAGUACGACUGAAGCAUUAAGAUGGUAACCAUUCUCAAGACCAGGAAGUUAUGGUCUGUGGUUGAAGAAGGCGU